ensembl:snoRNA Snord28b small nucleolar RNA, C/D box 28B
GUCAGAUGAUUUGAAUUGAUACACUGAUAACUCCGUGAAGGUGUGAAUUUAUUAUAGCAUGUUAGAGUUCUGAUGGCA